rnacentral:rRNA from 1 species
AUGCUUCCUUAUGAGAUCUUUGCUGCUACUUUUCAUUGUGUUAUACCAUCAAUUAAGCUAGACUUGAAAAAUUAUUUGCUUGGACAUGAUCAUACAUACAUUGUUGGUGGCAUUGCUCUCAUUCCUGAUGAUGACACUUAUUUUCCUUAUGCUAGUCCUAUGCUUAAUGAAACAUAUUAUUCCCAUGCUAGUCUUGAGCUUAAUGAUAAAUUUCAUCCUCAUGUUAGUGUCGACCUUGCUGAUUUCUACCAUCCUAAACAUGUGUUUUAUAGCUAUGCUUAUGUAAUUGGAUAUUCGAUUGAUGACUUGGAGGGUAUUAUCCCUACCACUUGCAUUGUCUCUUUCGUUGAGUGCUCUUUCAGGUUUUUGCUUGUGCACUAUCCAUUACAUGCUGACCAGGUUCGAGGUGACAUUCCUUGGGACCCUGGUGGACUUAAAGCAUGGCGAUGA